UGGGAACUGAGAGUAUAAAAGAGU
rnacentral:piRNA from 1 species